rnacentral:rRNA from 1 species
UACGUAGGGGGCUAGCGUUGCCCGGAAUCAUUGGGCGUAAAGAGCGUGUAGGCGGUCCGGUAAGUCCGCUGUGAAAGUCGGGGGCUCAACCCUCGAAUGCCGGUGGAUACUGUCGGGCUAGAGUGCGGAAGAGGCGAGUGGAAUUCCUGGUGUAGCGGUGAAAUGCGCAGAUAUCAGGAGGAACACCUAUUGCGAAGGCAGCUCGCUGGGACGUAACUGACGCUGAGACGCGAAAGCGUGGGGAGCAAACAGG